UUCACUUUGUAUCACUACGAACUUGAACACUGACAACCCUUCUUCACAAGCUCAAAGAACUGAAGCCUCGAUCUAAAAUAGACCAUUGUUCCACUUGUCCAGUCGUCUCCUCUGUUAAUUCAAAGAUAUCUCCUCGUAUAAUCAUGUGGCUCAUGAAACACAAGUACCCAUGAAUUUUUCUUUUCUUCCUUGACGAUGAGAUCUCUCCUUUUACCAGACAACUUCUCUGAUUUUGAAACACAUUACCAAUGUGAGACAUCCACUCUACAUCAAUCUCAGGAUUAUUGCUUCUCCAACCAAGUAUACCUUCUCUGAAUAAUCUGAGAAUCCAUUUUUAUUUCGACAUAUGAUGGCUGUCAAACCCCAAUUUCUUUUGACUUUGCCAAUUUGGAUCGGAUUUGCUCUUUCUCUUGUCCUUCUUUGGUAAAUGCUAAACACAACCUUCUCCUUACUCAGAGAUUUCGUCUCUCUUCUUCUCUGCCUCCCUGUCAUCAAAGCUCAUCGACAGUUUCUGGUGACUUCUCCAACCAGAACUUAGUGUGUUUGGCCAAGCAUGUUGUCAUCAUUGAGCUCCGUGAAGUAUUCAGAGCUUAGGAAAGAGCCAUGAACCAACACAGACACAUCACAAGGCUUUAUGGAGUCACUGCAACCUCAUGAUGACAAAACUUCUUCCAUAA
rnacentral:lncRNA from 1 species